CAUAAUUAAUCAACCAUAAUACCUAGACAUAGGGAGCAGUUCAACUGCUUCGGGAUGGUCACCACCCACCUUUUAUAGCGUUCCGUUUGCUCGUCGUCACUCGCAAUCGGCCUCCCGCGGCGCACGCCGCUCGGCUCGACCCAACUCACGCGCGACCACCGAACGACCUCCGAUCUGCAAUCCGGAAAUUAAAUGUCUUCGGUUUCUCGUUAUGAUACUCGGAACCCGAUCCCGCGAUUUAUGGAUGCCACCUCGGCCCUCCAGGCGGAAAUGAAUGCCGGAAGGUCCUUUUCUUCAAUAUCUUUGCACCGGCUCGACGAAUCGCCGAACCGACUUUGCCAACGUGUCAGAAUAUCUAGCAAUUAGGUUUACAACCAUCCAAAUGAGAUCAAAACCCUAGAUUUCCUAAAACCCCAUUUUAGAGCCCUAGUUUACAACUACGGCAAAAUCCACCGUUAAUCCUCUAGAUUCUAGCAUUUAUCAUCUAUUUAGCAUGCUAAGAUUCCAAAUAAACUAUUUCUAGAGAUUAAAAUCCAAGCUCUAGUGAUUCACCAUUAAUGAGCAUCAAAGCUUACCUCAACUAAGCUUCUUCUCCAAGCAAAGGAAGAAGAAGAUGAUAGAAACCCUUCUCCAAGCUCCAAUCUCCACCCUUCUCCUCCUCUUGAUCAACUUCUACAGAGAGAGGAAGCUUCCUAGAGAAAGAGAGGGUGUUCUUUUAGGUCUAGGUCAUGAGAAAUGAGAGGGAGAAGAGAACACUUGCUCCUAUACUCUCUCAUAAGUGCACAAAUUGCACAAAAGACCUUCAACUCUCCAAAUAAUGCCCUGCCCCCGCGGGGCCAUUUUUUGUAUAAGGGACCGGUCCUUGGACUUGAGGGACCGGUCCCCGUAGGUCCAGAAAAAUAGCAUUUUAGGACUUAGCAAAAUUUUCAGCUUUUUCACCCUUUCUUUUCCGUUUUCGCUCGUUUAGCCUCCGAUUCUUUUCAAAUCGAACUGAGACUCUCCAAACAUGUUUUCGAGCGUGUUUUCAUCAUAUUUUUAUCCACGCUAACGCCAGAUUUAGUUCACGACCCAACAUAGCCUUUCGGGUCCCUCUUUGCGCCUACGCACACCAAAGCGCCCGACUGCUUCCGGACUUAACCGGAACUUCACCGGAACCAUUCUAAUGGCUCUCCAACCAAAUGUACACCGUAACUUCAUGAUUUUAGAAGUCUGGUACCUUACAUCCUCCCCUCUUUAAAAGGAGUUUUGUCCCCGAAACUAACCACCUCAAAUCUAACACACACAUCAACUCAACUUAUUGAGUAAUCGAGGGUUCCAAUGCACUUUCGCACUCCGGGGUGGCCUUUCACUCAUCAGAGCUAUCCAAAGGCCCACUCUGGAGGAUGUGAGAUCAAGUUCACUCAUAUUUGCUAAGUAGAACAUCGAAAGUGCAUUACUAGCACACAAGGAAUCUCUCCUUGCACUACUCUCCUAAUCGAGGAACACUCCGAUUCGAUCACUGACAUUGCCCAGAAGCAAUAUCAUUGGUGCAUCGAUCAAUCGCGAGUGCUACCAUCACAUCCGGAUCUUUGCUCUACUACGAGAUGGCACACUUCGGCACAUCUCCAAUGUUAAUCCUCAAGAGAGCAAUAUUUUGAAUUCUAUGUGGCUAUCCGGUAUUCAAGUGUCUCCAAGAGACCACUUUACCUUAUCUUUCAAUUGCCACUUCCAACAUCAAAUCGCUCUACAACGAACUCACACGAACACUCUGUCUGCAAAUCCAAACCAAACUCCUCGACAGAGUUAUUGGCCAAACCGAUAACCUCGGUUUCCACAUGUGGACCAACAGUCACUAACUUUACUCAAGCCUAUAGCCUAACCGUCUCGACACUCGUAACGUCUCUCCAACCACAUGUGGUCAACGCUUGCAAGCGUUGACCAAAUCAUAACUGGGCGAAAUUCUCACUUUGGAAUUUGCACACACUCCGAUCAGGAGCAACUAAGACCUCAAACCGCUACAAUUCAUCGGGUUGGGUCACUAUCGCACCCUUAACGCAUGCUCGAUCUCGAGAUCCAACACGUGGCAUCUCUCGCUCCCGAAUCUAAGCUCGGACUACUGCCCUUCUCAAUUCGAGGUAGGCAUCGCGCUACCACCACUCAUGCAUGCUAGGGUAACCACACCGACCCAUGCCUUGGUCUCUACUAUGCUUAUGAACAAAUAGUAGCAAACGACCACAACUACAAUGCAUGUAAUGCACUUAUUUAAUAUCAUGCAAAGGUACAUACUUGCUUCAACUAAACCAUACCUGCCAUGACAUCAUUCGCAGCAGUAGGCUCCUCAACUUGGGCGGCAUACACCCGCCCACUUGGAGCAGAUCGGGUCGCCUCAGGCCGACGUGGCACCAAAGCACGUCCAGCCGACCCAACCAUAGGUGGGGCUCCUCCAUAAUGGCCUGGAAUUGCCGGAGCCGAUGCGACAGACAGGGAAACCAAAGCCUUUCUUGGGCAAUCAUAGGCCAUGUGGCCCGCCUGGCCGGAUUCAUAACAUCUCCCACGGCAAUGCUCACAUUGCGUCAUUCGGUGGUCUCCACCACAAAAGACGCACCACUGCACUUCACGGCCCUCGGGCCGUUCUCGCGGGUACUUCGGGGGCUUCUUGGAACCCGAUUGACCUCCAGAACCACCGCCGGUCCGCCUCUUUCCCUUUUCCUUCUCGAACUCUUCGCGCUCCUCGAGAAUGCACACAUUGCCGUGCUCGACCCACAGAGCACGGUCCAACACCUCCGCGAACGUAUGAAACUUGAAGGCAUGCACCAAUCAGAAAACAUCGAGCCGGAGUCCCCGCACGAAACACUCUGCCCGGUCCUGCUCGAUCCUAACCAUAUCCGGCACGCAGUUCAGGAUAUAUGUGAACUCCCGCUCAUACUCGCGUACCAUGCGGUUACCCUGCUUUAACUUCCGAAAGGUCUCAUGCAUCCUUCUCUUGUCACUGUCGGGGAAGUACUCCGUGAACAUCAGUCCCCGAAACUCCGCCCAAUCAAUCGGGGGUAAAUCCGGAGAUCUAUCUUGCUUUACCCUCCGCCACCACACUCUAGCCCUCUUAUCGAAACAAUGAGCGGCCAAAAUUACCUUAUCUUGCCCGAGGGUAUAGAUAUCAUCAAACAAGGUUUCCAUUGUGGCUAACCACGUCUCCACCGUCCACGGGUCUACUACCUCGCCAUCGAAGGUCGGAGGACGGAACUUCAUGAACCUUGUGAGCGCCGUGUAGCCGCACUCCCACUCCGACUCCUCGAUUGCCGCGCGGGUUGCAGAACCCGACGCCGCCGCAGGAACACUUGCCGACAGGGGAUGUGCUGCCACCAGAGGCGCCGCAAUGCCCUCACCCUCAGUCGCAACUGGCGUUCGAGCCGAGAGUGCAGGCGGAUCAUGACCCUCGGUUGUCGUCGGGGCCGCCGCCGCCAUCUGUCGCUCUACAAGCCCUUGCAGCUGCUGCACUGCGCCAACUAGCACAGUCAUCUGUGCCCCCAGCUCUUGCACUUCGCUUGACCCGCCUUGCUCAGCUUGCUCAGGCACCUCAGGCGGCGGUGCCGGAACGAAACUACGCACGUAGCAUCUCGGAGACAUUCGUUCCUGAAACGCAACAAGUUGGUUAAUUACCUUAACCCAACAUCUCCUCGCAAUCACGAAACAACACGUCUCAACAACAUAAUCAGGCGGAAGUACGCAAGUGUACUCGUUCUAGACUCUUGGCUUUAUGUCGUCGGACGGCGACACAACCACCUCGAGUAAAGAAGUCAUACCACUUGAGUUCAUCUCUAAUCACUACUAGAGAUACAUCACCAUUUUCGACCCAAUCAAAUCAACUUCCGCCACCGCAUAGGUUCACGUUCCACUCACGCACCUAUGGCCUUAAGGUUUACCAUCCUAGGGUCUCCUAGGCCCAUCCUAGUCUCCCUCUUUACUUGCUCUUAACAUGCUCUGAUAUCAUCUUAUCUGUCACACCCCGAAACCCGCUACCAAUUUGGUCCGGCUCGAGCGCGUCGGACAGACGCCGAACGGACAGCACCUUCCCUGUCCGCCCAAGGCAAAACGACGAGAUCAUGUACAACAAGUUCCCAGGAAAUCAACUUGAAUACAUACACGAUCAACAACAACCACGAGAGCACAACCAGUGCUAAACAACCAAGAGCAAGCAUCACCAGUAGAGUACAUACAAGUGAAUAAAAGAGAGAUACUAACUAACUAUUACAACCAUUCAACCAUUAUUUACAUUGAUUACAUUUACAUUCUUCCAAAACAUAAACAUAAAGUUUACAAUUCUCCAACUUAUCUCACCCUAUACAUCAUCUACUCUCAAGUACAUAGGGUAGCUCUAAUGCAAAAAGGAAGGUAAGCUACUACAACUACUAGGGCGCUAAGCCCCUACCACGAUCCUAAACCGGCGCGCUUGUACUCGGCACUGCAACAAAGUAGGGUGAGAACUACAAAUAGUUCCCAGUGGGUUCGGCCGUCGACUCCGCCGAUCUCCUCACUAGGUCUAAGCAGGCAUUGGCAGAUAGAUAGAUAGAUAACUUGAAAGCGAUAACAAUAAGAAAAGUACAGGUACUCUACCAUUCCUUAAUCUAAUAUAAUGAAUGCAUGCACUACAUAGUAAAGGCUAGCUACUAUGCUACUAUGUCCAACAACGAUGCUAUUCAUUAAAUCACCCAAUCAUUUGGCUAACCCGUGGGCUCGCCUUCUAUCUCGCGUCUCAAUCUCACGGCCCCCUUAUAGGCGCCACAUCUACUCGAUCACACUGAUGAGGAUCCGCUCACUCACCCGACUCACAACACACUCUCUACGGGGAGGAUCCGCUCACUCGCCCGACUCACAACCUACUCUCUACGGGGAGGAUCCGCUCACUCGCCCAACUCACAACACACACACACUCUUUACGGGGAGGAUCCGCUCACUCGCCCGACUCACAACACACUCUCUACGGGGAGGAUCCGCUCACUCGCCCAACUCAACACAGGUACCACAACCCAAUCUCUAUCUCACAGGUGAGGAUCAGCUCACUCACCCGACUCACCUGGGAAGGAUCAGCUCAAUCGCCCAAGACCGUCUGCGGGACCCAAAAGGCUAUCCCUAUCGUGUGACAAUUCCGGAGUGCACUGCUUGUGUGGAGCGACCACCCCAAGCUUUGAAUAGACAUAUGAGUAUGAUCAAAUCCUCAUCACAGAGGAUACCCUACCACUCUAGACAACAUCAUUUGGGAGCUAGUUCAUCCCUAGGUUCAACAUGCAAUAAGUGUUUCCAUUUUACUUUACUUAUCAUGCCACUCGUCAAGUUAUUCAUUUAUCUAGAUGCCACUCGUUCUUUGGUUCUCGUCAGCACAAGAUUAAGUUCAUCAUUUACUUUACCACUAUAGGGUUCUAAGUCACAAGUUCCUAUUCUCAUGCAUCCUAAGUCAAGUGCCAAACUCAUGUUGCUACACUACUAAGGAUCAUGCAAGGAUGGAAAUGCAACUAUUUAAUACCCUAUUAUGCAUAAUAGUUACACUAGUCCACAUGCCAAUAGGUUUUCGCCUACCUAGGAUCAAAUCAACAUUUAUCAUCUCAUUAUAGGGUUACUAAUCAACAUAUCUCAAUCUCAUGCAUACAAGGCUCAAGUGUUAAACAAGUAAUACAACACUACCUCUAACAUGCAAGAAUAUAUAGCAACUAAUUAAGCACCCUAUAAUGCAUCAUGCUCAAAUGCAUAAUUGAUCAACUAUAAUACUUAGACAUAGCGAGCAGUUCAACUGCUUCGGGAUGGUCACCACCUACCUUUUAUAGCGUUCCGAUUGCUCGUCGUCACUCGCAAUCGGCCUCCCGCGGCGCACGCCGCUCUGCUCGACCCAACUCACGCGCGACCACCGAACGACCUCCGAUCUGCAAUCCGAAAAUUAAAGGUCUUCGAUUUCUCGUUACGAUGCUCGGAACCCGAUCCCACGAUUUAUGGAUGCCACCUCGGCCCUCCAGGCAAAAACGAAUGCCGGAAG
rnacentral:lncRNA from 1 species